rnacentral:rRNA from 1 species
AACACAUGCAAGUCGGACGGCAGCAUGGUUUGUAGCAAUACAAACUGAUGGCGAGUGGCGGACGGGUGAGAAACGCGUAGGAAUCUGCCUUGUAGAGGGGGACAACUAGAGGAAACUCUAGCUAAUACCGCAUAAUGUCGAGAGACCAAAAGCUGGGUGGUAACACCUGGCGCUAUGAGAGGAGCCUGCGUCCGAUUAGCUAGUUGGUGGGGUAAAGGCCUACCAAGGCGAUGAUCGGUAGCUGGUCUGAGAGGAUGAUCAGCCACACUGGGACUGAGACACGGCCCAGACUCCUACGGGAGGCAGCAGUGGGGAAUAUUGGACAAUGGGGGCAACCCUGAUCCAGCAAUACCGCGUGUGUGAAGAAGGCCUUCGGGUUGUAAAGCACUUUAGGUUGGGAAGAAGGCGUAUAGUUUAAGAGCUGUACGUUUGG